AGACCCGUAGCUCAACUGGCAGAGCGCCUGACUCUGGAUUAGGAGGCUUCAGGUUCGAUUCCUGACGGGUCUG
rnacentral:tRNA from 1 species